AUUGAACGCUGGCGGCAGGCCUAACACAUGCAAGUCGAACGAGUGGCGGACGGGUGUGUAAUGUCUGGGAAACUGCCUGAUGGAGGGGGAUAACUACUGGAAACGGUAGCUAAUACCGCAUACCAUCAGAUGUGCCCAGAUGGGAUUAGCUAGUGGGUGGGGUAACCGCUCACCUAGGCGACGAUCCCUAGCUGGUCUGAGAGGAUGACCAGCCACACUGGAACUGAUGCACGGUCCAGACGCCUACGAGAGGCAGCAGUGGGGAAUAGGGCACAAUGGGCGGAAGCCUGAUGCAGCCAUGCCGCGUGUAUGAAGAAGGCCUUCGUGUUGUAGAGUACUUUCAGCGGGGAGGCGUUACCCGCAGAAGAAGCACCGGCUAACUCCGUGCCAGCAGCCGCGGUAAUUC
rnacentral:rRNA from 1 species